rnacentral:rRNA from 1 species
GAGCUCUGAGACAGGUGCUGCAUGGCUGUCGUCAGCUCGUGUUGUGAAAUGUUGGGUUAAGUCCCGCAACGAGCGCAACCCUUAUCCUUGUUUGCCAGCGAGUAAUGUCGGGAACUCCAGGGAGACUGCCGGUGAUAAACCGGAGGAAGGUGGGGACGACGUCAAGUCAUCAUGGCCCUUACGAGUAGGGCUACACACGUGCUACAAUGGCGCAUACAGAGGGCAGCAAGCUAGCGAUAGUGAGCGAAUCCCAAAAAGUGCGUCGUAGUCCGGAUUGGAGUCUGCAACUCGACUCCAUGAAGUCGAAUCGCUAGUAAUCGUGAAUCAGAAUGUCACGGUGAAUACGUUCCCGGGCCUUGUACACACCGCCCGUCACACCAUG